rnacentral:SRP_RNA from 1 species
GCCAGGUGUGGUGGUGAGCACCUGUAGUCCCAGCUACUGGGGAGGCUGAGGCAGGAGGAUCGCUUGAGCCCAGGAAGUUGAGGCUGCAGUGAGCUAUGAUUGUGUCACUGCACUCCAGCCUGGGCAACAGAGCAAGACCCUGUCUCUA